GAGUUUGAUCCUGGCUCAGAUUGAACGCUGGCGGCAUGCCUUACACAUGCAAGUCGAACGGCAGCACGGGAGCUUGCUCCUGGUGGCGAGUGGCGAACGGGUGAGUAAUGCAUCGGAACGUAUCCUGGAGUGGGGGAUAACGUAGCGAAAGUUACGCUAAUACCGCAUAUUCUGUGAGCAGGAAAGCGGGGGACCUUCGGGCCUCGCGCUCUUGGAGCGGCCGAUGUCGGAUUAGCUAGUUGGUGAGGUAAAGGCUCACCAAGGCGACGAUCCGUAGCAGGUCUGAGAGGAUGAUCUGCCACACUGGAACUGAGACACGGUCCAGACUCCUACGGGAGGCAGCAGUGGGAAUUUUGGACAAUGGGGGCAACCCUGAUCCAGCCAUGCCGCGUGAGUGAAGAAGGCCUCGGUUGUAAGUA
rnacentral:rRNA from 1 species